rnacentral:lncRNA from 1 species
GUUGGUCUUCUCUCUCUCUCUCUUUUGCUCUUUUAGCUACAUCCAGUGUCAACAGUGUGUCGGCACUGAAAGGAGUGGAAAGCACUGAAUCCACUGUUACUAGAAGGAUGAGCAGUGGAUCCAAUGUUACCAGUAACGCCAGUAAGUAGAGACACAGCAUUCAAUUUUGCAUUAGUGAAGCUCCUAAUUUUUUUAAACUAGUGUUGAUAAAAAAAAAUCAUGUAUAAUAGCAAAUUGUCCUUAUCAUUGCCUAGACGAUGAAGCAGGAGUGAAUCAGACCAUCACUUCAUCCAAUGUAUACAGUGCGUUUGUAAGAAGUCGCACUGAGACUGGGUUAAUAUUACAAUGGAACAAAGUGAACAACAGCAGCAGUUACAGUUACAGACUGAACUACAAUGGAAUAAACAUUAAUAUCAAUGGAUCAGAGGGAGGAUCUGUAGUGAUAAUCAUCUCAUCUCUUUCUUCCGGAAAUAAAUACACCUUCACAUUCUACACUGUAUUUGAAGGAGUGGAGAGCAGUGGAUUUAACUUUACCAGUGUCACCAGUAAGUACAGCCACAUUUAAGAGCUAUGUCAGCUCUGUCAUUUACAGGAACAGCAAUGUUAUUUUAUUUAGUGUUCUGUGUAUUCUUGUUGAUGUAAAAGUUGGGUUGGUGCACAGUGCAUGUCCAUGUGUGUGUGCGUGAGCUGAGCACCCACAAUGAACAGAUUUAUUCGCUCCCCAUUCAUUUAUAAGAAAGAAAAAAACAGUUCUACUAUACAUGAACCUACAGAUAUCAAUAUUUUAAACCUUUCAGUUACGUACUGUACCUGAGCAGAUACUACACUUACUAUAUUUUGGUAACA